CAGUCGCCACGGGAAUACGAAGGGGGCUAGCGUUGUUCGGAAUUACUGGGCGUAAAGCGCACGUAGGCGGACUUUUAAGUCAGGGGUGAAAUCCCGGGGCUCAACCUCGGAACUGCCUUUGAUACUGGAAGUCUUGAGUAUGGAAGAGGUUAGUGGAAUUGCGAGUGUAGAGGUGAAAUUCGUAGAUAUUCGCAGGAACACCAGUGGCGAAGGCGGCUAACUGGUCCAUAACUGACGCUGAGGUGCGAAAGCGUGGGGAGCAAACAGGAUUAGAUACCCCCGUAGUCCCUGUCUCUUAUAC
rnacentral:rRNA from 1 species